CAAGAUGGUUCCUGGUCAUUUCGCUGAAGUUAAGCAAAGUUAAAUAUCUUCAAUUGAUGGAUAGAUACAAAAGAGCUCAGGACUACAUUGAGCAUAACAAACUUUGGAAAAACACUACAGAAACUUUGAAAAGUCACAAUUUAAGUGAUUUGUUUCCGAAUCUGAAGAUUGUGGAAGUUCCGUUGCAUUUUUUUGUUUCUCUUGAAUCGUAUACUUUUAGAAGGUUGAUAAACGAACAUCCAAAAAUCAAAGGAUUGAUUGGACUUGAUGAACCUGUUGAGAACAGAUAUAACUUGGAAAAUAUCGAAAUGAUUUCAUCAGAUUUCAAAUUUGAAUUCGAGGUCCAAAUUUGUCCAUUUUAAAAAUCCUUGAAAUUCCACCUGGUAAUCUUGGCUUUAUUACUAUUACUAUGGCUUUAAUACUUUCAGGCUAAUUACAUUGACGAUACAAUAAAAAAUUUCAAUCUAAGAGAUUUGGUUAUCGAACAUGUAAGUGACAAUGAAAAAUUCUCAUUUGAUUCACUUUUUCGUUUUGAUUCUUUCCACCUCAAGCCUUAUACAUGUGAGUUUACCUUGGAACUUUUACGGAUAAUCUGCACAAAAUUCCCGAAUUUACAUCAUCUUGGAAUCAGAGGCUACGAAGUUGACGAUAGUCAUGUAGAAGUAAUGGUUAAACUAUUACCAGA